UGAAGCUGCAUGGGCGCGGCUCGGCUCUUUGGUAUCCUAGCUGUAGGCGUUUACGAAGCGGCCUAAAGUUAUGGUACCGAAGUCCCGGGCCUCGCCAUUCGCUACG
rnacentral:pre_miRNA from 1 species